GACGAACGCUGGCGGCGUGCUUAACACAUGCAAGUCGAACGAAGAGCGAUGGAAGCUUGCUUCUAUCAAUCUUAGUGGCGAACGGGUGAGUAACGCGUAAUCAACCUGCCCUUCAGUGGGGGACCACAGUUGGAAACGACUGCUAAUACCGCAUACGAUCUAAUCUCGGCAUCGAGGAUAGAUGAAAGGUGGCCUCUACAUGUAAGCUAUCACUGAAGGCGGGGAUUGCGUCUGAUUAGCUAGCUGGAGGGGUAACGGCCCACCAAGGCGAUGAUCAGUAGCCGGUCUGGGAGGAUGAACGGCCACAAUGGGACUGAGACACGGCCCAGACUCCUACGGGGAGCAGCAGUGGGGAAUCUUCCGCAAUGGACGAAAGUCUGACGGAGCAACGCCGCGUGAGUGAUGACGGCCUUCGGGUUGGAAAGCUCUGUUAAUCGGGACGAAAGGCCUUCUUGCGAAUAGUGAGAAGGAUUGACGGUACCGGAAUAGAAAGCCACGGCUAACUACGUG
rnacentral:rRNA from 1 species